AACGAACGCUGGCGGCGUGCCUAACACAUGCAAGUCGAGCGCGAAAAGGGCAACCUGAGUAGAGCGGCGCACGGGUGCGUAACACGUGGGUAAUCUGCCUUAGAGUCGAGGAUAACCUUCCGAAAGGUUGGCUAAUACUCGGUAAGCUUACGGUGUCUUCGGACGCUGUGGGAAAAGUAGGCCUCUGUUUACAAGCUUACGCUCUGAUAUGAGCCCGCGGCCCAUCAGCUAGUUGGCGGUGUAACGGACCACCAAGGCAACGACGGGUAGCUGGUCUGAGAGGACGAUCAGCCACACUGGAACUGAGACACGGUCCAGACUCCUACGGGAGGCAGCAGUGGGGAAUUUUCCACAAUGGGCGAAAGCCUGAUGGAGCAACGCCGCGUGUGUGAUGAAGGUUUUCGGAUCGUAAAGCACUUUCGACUGGGACGAAAAACCUUUGGCUAACAUCCAGGGGUCUGACGGUACCAGGAGAAGAAGCACCGGCUAACUCUGUGCCAGCCGCCGCAGUAAGAC
rnacentral:rRNA from 1 species